CCAUAUAGGGGCCGGAAGGAGAAAAAUCAAGCCUUUUCUCGCGCGCUGCCUGGUCCGUGUUGCGGCCGUUGAAGCUGUAAUGGAGGCCAGUGAAAGGUCUAGGCAAAGUCUCCCUAGUUUUGAAAGACACACUUCAAGAUUCAGCUUUCUUUAAAGAGGCUCAGCGCCAAAAACAUGAAAAAAUUAUGGGACCCAACGAAAGUGCCAUUGGUGAUGCCGGAAGUGCUCUUAGAGAAGUUCAAGAGCUAAUGAACAGCACCCCAGAGGAAUUAACACAAGACGACUUGAUGGAGAUGAGCAGUUCUGAGCCAGUGCCAGACAACGAAGAAAAUGUAGAAGAAGCAGUGCCAGAAAACAGAUUGACAACAGUCUUACAGAAGGGUUCACUGGUCUUCAGUGUUGUGUGAACAGUGCAGAUAACUUCUGCUGUGUAUGUGGUGAAGUGGACUUGUGAAUUACAAAAGCUCAGUAUAACCACUAUGGUUAAGAAAGCCUAUCGCCUUUAUUUUGGCUGUAGAAUUGGAGGUCAGGACAAGAGGUGAGCCCCAAACAUAUGCUGCAACACUUGUGCAACAAAUCUUCACCAGUAGUUGAACAGGAAAAGAAAUCUAUGCCUUUUAUAGUGCCAGUGAUUUGGGGAGAGCCAACAGAACAUACCAGCAAUUGUUACUUCUGCGUGAUGCCUCCAGUUGGGAGAGGUGUGUGUGAGACCCGAGACGAAAGCAUAGAAGCUCUCGUUGGAGUGCCAUCCACCCUUAAGAUUACUCAGGAGGUUCAGACUAGCCCACCUCCACCACCCAGAGAGACUGUCCAACAGGGAAUUGACAACGGGAGCUGGAGGAGAGAUUAUUGAAAGUAAAGGUUGCUACACAAACUGAGCAGGAGUUCACGGGAAAAGAAGAAAAGGGGUGGCCCGUGGUAGAGGCAGGAAUGGGGGAGAUAAAAAGGGAGGGAGAUCCAAUACCAGGGGGUUGGGAACUCAUCUGGGUAGAGGAUUCUUGGACGGGCAAGAGGGAAAAAGUGAGAGUACCCCGAGAACAGGCAGAUUACCGCAGGAGACAAGGACUACCCAAAAUACCGUCAUAUUGGCGUGAGUUGGGGGCUCGUGAGUGGCGGCGACACCUAAGGGAGGAGAAAGAGGUGGUAGCCCGAGAAGAGCAAGAACGUCUGGUGUGGCAUAUGGAGGAAGCUCGGAGGAGGGAAUACCUGGACCCCUUUUGAGAGGGAGAGAGAACACCUUUGGGGAGAGACCCUAGAUGAGGAGACCGUACCAUUAUUAAGAACUGAAGAAAAGGAACUCCUUGAGAGAGAUGGUGACCCCUUUUUGCAGGGACCUUGGGAAAACAAAUCUUUGAAUCCGUUUGAGGCAGAUGUGUGUUUGCCCUUGCAUUGUCCGUUGGCGACAAGAGAGAAGUUACCUGAAUAACUCAAUAAAUCCAAGUUUUGGUUUAAACUUACAA